rnacentral:rRNA from 1 species
GACGUAGGGCGCGAGCGUUGUCCGGAUUUAUUGGGCGUAAAGAGCUCGUAGGCGGCUUGUUGCGUCAGCUGUGAAAACCCGCAGCUCAACUGUGGGCUUGCAGCUGAUACGGGCAGGCUUGAGUUCGGUAGGGGAGACUGGAAUUCCUGGUGUAGCGGUGAAAUGCGCAGAUAUCAGGAGGAACACCGGUGGCGAAGGCGGGUCACUGGCCCGGUACUGACGCUGAGGUGCGAAAGCGUGGGGAGCAAACAGG